AAAAAGUGAAGAAAUCAAGGAAACAAGCUAGGUGGUGAGACGUCCGGAAAAGGCAAAGGAAUUGCGCCUGAGGACUAUUAGUCAGAGUUCACCCGAAAUCUGAAUUUUCGACACCUAUCAGGUGACUGUUGGACCCUAGAUCGAGGAGUCCCCGUAGUGCAUAUCCUGGGUAUGUGUCGGGCAUUCAAUAGUAAUCCCUUUCAUUGUAAAUGUCUCCGCUGGAAGUCAUGGGUCCUUUGUAUUGUGAAAACA